rnacentral:rRNA from 1 species
AUACGGAGGAUCCGAAGCGUUAUCCGGAUUUAUUGGGUUUAAAGGGUGCGUAGGCGGACUUAUAAGUCAGCGGUGAAAGUUUGCAGCUUAACUGUAAAAUUGCCGUUGAAACUGUUAGUCUUGAGUGUAAAUGAGGUAGGCGGAAUGUGUUGUGUAGCGGUGAAAUGCUUAGAUAUAACGCAGAACACCAAUUGCGAAGGCAGCUUACUGGGAUACAACUGACGCUGAGGCACGAAAGCGUGGGGAUC